AUUAGGGGUGCCUUAUCCUUCGGGAUUGAAAGACAGGCUGAGAUCAUACCCUCUUACCUGAUCCGGGUAAUGCCGGCGUAGGGAUCUGGAUAGAUU
rnacentral:ncRNA from 1 species